CAAAAUGUUCCCGGGUGAUAUAAACAUACAGGGGGGGUUUGCAAAUACAUGAAAUGAACCAUUUUAAUUUAGAAUGUUGAUUACACUAAUUAAGGCCAGUAGAAGAAGUUUCAUACUGAAAAAAUAAUUUUAAGUAUUUUUCCUAGAUUUUCAAACUUUAAAAAGGGUCAAUUUGACCCGCAACAUAACAGGAGGGUUAAAGACACUCAAUUUCAAAAAUAACGUACAUAACCAAAAUAUUUUCUGCAGUAAUUUCGACGACGAAAUCUUAUCUGUGUUCCGUAGAUAGAGACAGAGAGAAUGAACGCUGUCGCUCCCCAGUUCUAUCAGCUAAGUCUAUCAGCAAACAUAUGCCUUAGCCAUGCUCAGAAUUUCUCAAGAAUAAUAGUAUUUUCCAAGAAACGACGAAAGUCGUAUCUUUUACUGCUACCACAGUCUGAAUACAUAAUGCAGCUAUAACGAGACAAAACUUUCGGUUACACUGAGCUAUAAAAUGCUAUUCCAAAAGUAAAAUUGGACAUAUUUUUAAUGGUAAAAUAAUGUUUUCAUGUAUGCCCAGAUCAAAACUAUUGUCCAGUGUGUCAUGCAUUGGGGGUGUAGUUACAAAUGAGACUGCAGGGAGGGGGUGCUUGGUAAAUGCAAGACCAAUGCUACAAUGGUAGCGCUAAAAUAAGUAGUUCUCUCACAUUCAUAAUGUCACCUCAACAAUAAAUGGUUAAAGCAAAUAAUACAGUUGGUAGGUUAGGUAUAUAUAAGUGCUGUAUAUAUAACUGCCCAAUACUACUAGUGCAUAGUGAAGCCUUACCUCGGUUAACACCACAAAUAUAAUCAACCUUCACAUACAGAACAUCAUAUGUAGCCUAAACUGAAUUCUUUCUGAAUAAUUGCUGUUCUUAAUUUCUUUUUAAAACUGGUUUUACUGAUAAUCUGGGUUAAAUGUUGUGGUAGUUUGUUCCAGGUUGACAUAGCCCUAUACAUUACAGUUUAAGGUAAUGUGAAGCAUCCCAUAAAGGCAUGUCUGGUGUCAUAAUAAUGUCAUUGGUGUGUGUUAACUGUGAAUAUAAGUAUGUUGGUUUUCUUAAGGCACAAAUGUUUCUUAUAUACAUGACCAGGCUGUAUGGCAGUCUCUCUUCCACCCUCAUCCAUAACAGCCUUCCACACUGUCCCUCAUUGAGCAGUGCAGAGCAAGGCGGGCAGCUCUGUUUUGAGUGAGCUGGAUCUUAUUAAGCUCUUGUUUUGAAGAACUAGACCAGAUUGCUGGACAGUAAUCGAGGUGGGACAAGACUAAAGAUUGUAUUACUUGCUUAAUCGUUAUCUGUUAAAAAGUAAGCGCAACUUCUAAUGAUGGAAAUGCCUCUACUCAUUUUGGCAACCAUUUUAUUAAUGUGAGUUGACCAUAACAGUGUUCCCUCAAGUGUGACACCCAACAAUUUGGCCUCUUUAACCUGCUCAAUAGCUACCCCUUGCAAAGAGAUGCACAGCUCUUGAUCUGUCUUUAGAGCAUGCCUGGAGCUGAGUAUCAGACUCUUGGUUUUUGAGAUGUUCAACUUUAGCCUAUUUUCAGAAACCCAUUCAGAAACCAGCAUCAGCUCUUCUUGAAGCAUGUUAUUAAGCUCCUUGGUAUUUUCUGCACAUCAUCAGCAUAGAUAGCCAUGCAUGCAUUUUUUAAUACACAUGGCAGAUCAUUUGUAAAUAUGGAAUAUAGAAGAGGCCCUAGACAGUUGCCCUGUGGAACUCCGCAUUGUAGUGAUUUAAUAUUUGACAGGGUACCAUUAAACAAAACGCACUGUUGUCUGUUAGAUAAAUAACUUUCCAUCUAAUUGCUAGCUGAAGUUUUGAAUCCAUAUGCAGAUAGUUUGAUGAGUAUUAGCUCAUGGUCUGUAAGAUCAAAAGCUGCACUGAAGUCCAGCAGUACCGUACCCACCAUUAACUUUCUGUCAAUUUGUUUUAACCAAUCAUCUGUUAAUUGUGUUAAAGCUGUACAUGUUGAGUAACCCACCUUAUAUGCCUGUUGGAAUUCAGAGUUGAUACUGUUUUCCGAGAAAUAAUGCUGAAUCUAUUUAAA